CAAAAAAGCUGAAAACAAAUAUACGAAUCUUGCCUUUUGUAACACGAUGCCAAUCAUCAGUGCCUAACUUGCCACCACUAAUAUCUUCUAAGAAAGGACACUCUUUAAAACAUAUACUCGUGAGAGCAAAGAUAUGAAAAUAGUUAAAACAGGAGCACGGGAGUCGCGUAAGCCUGUCAUCCCCAUUUUCCAGCCUAGUCUAGUAAGAGCUAUUUGGCCCGUUUAAAGUUAAAAGGAACUUACCCGAAUCAAAACAGCAGCCACUUCAAGUUGGUUGAUAUAGACAAGGAAAUAUAGAAAAGAGAAACAAAAGCAAAAACAAGAACGAAAAAAACAAAAGAAAAGAAAAGAGAAAACCGGAUGUCACUUUUUGACUUCUUAUUCGUGAAAAUUGUGCAAAGGGAAACUAACUCCCAUGAAAAUUUCGCAGAAUCCAAGACGAGUAAGCGUGUAUCGCACGUUGUUAUACGUUAUUCAUCUUCAUUCUAACUGAUAUGUGCUUCGUUAUCCAAUAUUUUAUGAUCAGUGCCACUCCACCAUCCUUGUCCACAAUCCAUCAUGAAUACUUAGUUUUUCAAGUCGUGAAAGGGAAAUUUCCCGAAAAAUGACCUUUCGUCGUUAUUAUGUAAAUCAAUUUGUGGAAAGACAUAAGUGGACAACUCCAGAGUUCACUCAGUUUGCUUUGUGCCACGAGUAGCUGCAAAUCAAACCAAGCGAUAAUUCAUUUGUUUGUGCCAAGAAUCUUUGAGUAACAGUCACGGUGGCUGAAGAUCAAACCAUCAAGAGGUCGUCUAUUCACUUUUUCUGAGAAUCUUUAGUAACAGCCUUGCAAUUGGAAAAUGGAUGACCAGAACGAAAAAGAAACAGAGUUUGACAAUGACAGAAUAGAUUUUCACUCAACAGCUAACUUACGAAAAUUUUCUGAACAUCUCCAAAAGAACUUGGUCGUUGCCACAGCAAAAGAUGCUUGGGCCGAACAAGCAAACAUUCAUAGAAAUCUAGGUCUUAUGUACAAAUCGCAGGGUGACUUUCAAAAAGCCAUUGAGCAUCAUGAAAAACAUCUAAAAAUUGCAAGAGAAAUCGGAGAUCAGACCGCAGAAGGAAAAGCCUACGGAAAUCUCGGUAUUGCAUACCGUUCACUGGGUCACUUCGGAAAGGCCAUAGAGUAUCAUAUAAAAAAGGCUUGAAAAUUGCAAUAGACGUCGGUGAUCGGGCCAGUGAGAGAAAAGCGUAUGAAAGUCUAGGUAUUGCUUACAGUUCACUCAGUAACUUCCAAGAGGCCACUGAGUAUCAUGAAAAAGAUUUGAAAAUUGCAUUAGAAAUCGGUGAUCGGGCCGGAGAAGGAAGAGCCUACGGGAA